rnacentral:rRNA from 1 species
UACGUAGGGGGCAAGCGUUGUCCGGAAUCAUUGGGCGUAAAGCGCGUGUAGGCGGUCCGGUAAGUCCGCUGUGAAAGUCGGGGGCUUAACCCUCGGAUGCCGGUGGAUACUGUCGGGCUUGAGUACGGAAGAGGCGAGUGGAAUUCCUGGUGUAGCGGUGGAAUGCGCAGAUAUCAGGAGGAACACCAAUAGCGAAGGCAGCUCGCUGGGACGGUACUGACGCUAAGGCGCGAAAGCGUGGGGAGCAAACAGG